AUCUCUUCGGAGCAUUUUACGUAGGUGCUGCAUGGUUGUCGUCAGCUCGUGCCGUGAGGUGUCGGGUUAAGUCCCACUAACGAGCGCAACCCCUACCUUUAGUUGCCAUCAGGUUAGCUGGGGACGUCUAAAGGAACUGCCUACGCAAGUAGUGAGGAAGGCGGGGAGUGACGUCAAAUCAGCACGGCCCUUACGUCCAGGGCUACACACGUGCUACAAUGGCCGAUACAGAGGGCAGCUACCUGGUGACAGGAUGCAAAUCUCCAAAGUCGGUCUCAGUUCGGAUCGGAGUCUGCAACCCGACUCCGUGAAGUUGGAUUCGCUAGUAAUCGCGCAUCAGCCAUGGCGCGGUGAAUACGUUCCCGGGCCUU
rnacentral:rRNA from 1 species